CCUACGGGGGGCAGCAGUGAGGAAUAUUGGUCAAUGGCCGUAAGGCUGACCCAGCCACGUAGCGUGAGGGAAGACUGCCCUAUGGGUUGUAAACCUCUUUUAUGCGGGGAUAAAGGUGUCCACGUGUGGAUGUUUGCAGGUACCGCAUGAAUAAGGACAGGCUAAUUCCGUGCCAGCAGCCGCGGUAAUACGGAAGGUCCGGGCGUUAUCCGGAUUUAUUGGGUUUAAAGGGAGCGUAGGCCGGUCUUUAAGCGUGCCGUGAAAUUUUGUGGCGCAACCAGGAGAGUGCGGCGCGAACUGGAGACCUGGAGUGCGCGGAAGGCAGGCGGAAUUCGUGGUGUAGCGGUGAAAUGCGUAGAUAUCACGAAGAACCCCGAUUGCGAAGGCAGCCUGCCGCAGCGUUACUGACGCUGAAGCUCGAAAGCGCGGGUAUCGAACAGGAUUAGAUACCCCAGUAGUC
rnacentral:rRNA from 1 species